UUGCCCUAGUAACGGCGAGUGAAGCGGCAAUAGCUCAGAUUUGAAAUCUGGCGUCUUCGGCGUCCCGAGUUGUAAUCUGUAGAGGAUGCCUUUGGGUAGCCACCGGUCUAAGUCCCCUGGAACGGGGCGUCACAGAGGGUGAGAAUCCCGUAUGUGACCGGAAGGGCACCCUCCACAAGGCUCCUUCGACGAGUCGAGUUGUUUGGGAAUGCAGCUCUAAAUGGGAGGUAAAUUCCUUCUAAAGCUAAAUACCGGCCAGAGACCGAUAGCGCACAAGUAGAGUGAUCGAAAGAUGAAAAGCACUUUGGAAAGAGAGUUAAAAAGCACGUGAAAUUGUUGAAAGGGAAGCGCUUGCAACCAGACUUGUUGGCGGUGUUCCGCCGGUCUUCUGACCGGUCCACUCACCGUCUGCAGGCCAGCAUCAUCUGGGGCCGCCGGAUAAAAGCGAGGGGAAUGUGGCUCCCUCGGGAGUGUUAUAGCCCCUCGUGCAAUACGGCGAGCCUCGGGUGAGGUCCGCGCUUCGGCUAGGAUGCUGGCGUAAUGGUCGUAAGCGGCCCGUCUUGAAACACGGACCAAGGAGUCUAACAUCUAUGCGAGUGUUCGGGUGUCAAACCCCUACGCGUAAUGAAAGUGAACGGAGGUGGGAGCCUUAGGGUGCACCAUCGACCGAUCCUGAUGUCUUCGGAUGGAUUUGAGUAAGAGCAUAGCUGUUGGGACCCGAAAGAUGGUGAACUAUGCCUGGAUAGGGUGAAGCCAGAGGAAACUCUGGUGGAGGCUCGCAGCGGUUCUGACGUGCAAAUCGAUCGUCAAAUUUGGGUAUAGGGGCGAAAGACUAAUCGAAC
rnacentral:rRNA from 1 species